rnacentral:rRNA from 1 species
GAUGAACGCUAGCGGCAGGCUUAAUACAUGCAAGUCGAGGGGCAGCGCAGUGUAGCAAUACAUGGGCGGCGACCGGCAAACGGGUGCGGAACACGUACAGAACCUUCCUUCGAGCGGGGGAUAGCCCAGAGAAAUUUGGAUUAAUACCCCAUAGUAUAGCGGAGUGGCAUCACUUUGUUAUUAAAGAUUUAUCACUUGAAGAUGGCUGUGCGUCUGAUUAGGUAGUUGGCGGGGUAACGGACCACCAAGCAUGCUAUCAGUAACUGGUGUGCGCGCACGACCGGUCACACGGUCAGUGAUACACGAGCCCGACUACGACGGUAGGCCGCAUUAAGGAAUAUUGGUAAAUGGCCGCAAGUCUGCACCAGCCAUGCCGCGUGAAGGAUGAAGGUCCUCUGGAUUGUAAACUUCUUUUAUCUGGGGCGAACCCCUACUUUGCUUAGUAGUUUGACGGUACCAGAUGAAUAAGCACCGGCUAACUCCGUGCCAGCAGCCGCCGUAACAC